rnacentral:rRNA from 1 species
CCUACGGGUGACUGCAGUGGGGAAUAUUGCACAAUGGGCGCAAGCCUGAUGCAGCAACGCCGCGUGAGCGAUGAAGGCCUUCGGGUCGUAAAGCUCUGUCCGCAAGGAAGAAAAUGACGGUACUUGAGGAGGAAGCCCCGGCUAAAUGCGUGCCAGCAGCCGCGGUAAUACGUAGGGGGCUAGCGUUAUCCGGAUUUACUGGGCGUAAAGGGUGCGUAGAUGGUUUAUUAAGUAAGAGGUGAAAGGUCGCGGCUCAAACCGGAGACUGCAUUUGAAACUGGGGAACUGGAGUGCAGGAGAGGUAAGCGGAAUUCCGAGUGUAGCGGUGAAAUGCGUAGAUAUUAGGAGGAACACCAGUGGCGAAGGCGGCUUACUGGACUGUAACUGACACUGAGGCUCGAAAGCGUGGGGAGCAAACAGGAUUAGAUACCCCUGUAGUC